rnacentral:rRNA from 1 species
GAGUUGUAAGGNGACGGAUUGAAUGGGUUCUAAAAGCCUUCAGUAAGNUUAGAUGAGGUGUGUUCGUUCNGUUAAUUCCACNCGAUUUAAAUCGUUGGGUGNGGGGGGAAANUGCUUAGAUAGGAGGCGGGAGAUGGCCGACGGUAUUUCCCGGGGUAGGGAGUGAAAUCCCUAUAAUCCCCGGGACGNACCACCAGUGGCGAAGGUUGUCGGCUAGAACGCGCUCUGAACGGUGAGGGAUGAAAAGCUGGGGGAGCAAACCGGAUUAGAUACCCGGGUAGUCCCAGCUGUAAACGANGCAGGCUAGGUGUUGGUGUGGCUACGAGCCGCUCCAGUGCCGCAGGGAAGCCGUUAAGCCUGCCACCCGGGAAGUACGGCCGCAAGGCUGAAACUUAAAGGAAUUGGCGGGGGAGCACCACAAGGGGUGAAGCUUGCGGUUUAAUUGGAGUCAACGCCGGAAAUCUCACCGGGGGCGACAGCAGGUUGAAGGCCAGAUUAAAGGUCUUGCUAGACAAGCUGAGAGGAGGUGCAUGGCCGUCGCCAGUUCGUGCCGUGAGGUGUCCUGUUAAGUCAGGCAACGAUCGAGACUCGCAUUCCCUGUUGCUAUCGGCCUGUGAGUCGAGCACACUGGGAAAACUGCCGCCGCUAAGGCGGAGGAAGGAGCGGGCCACGGCAGGUCAGUAUGCCCCGAAUCCCCCGGGCUACACGCGAGCUGCAAUGGCAGGUACAAAGGGUUCCGACUCCGAAAGGAGAAGGUAAUCUCAAAACCCUGCCGUAGUUGGAAUCGAGGGUUGUAACUCACCCUCGUGAAGCAUGGAAUCCCUAGUAAUCGCGCGUCACUAUCGCGCGGAGAAUACGUCCCUGCCCCUUGCACAC